rnacentral:rRNA from 1 species
UACGAAGGGGGCUAGCGUUGUUCGGAAUUACUGGGCGUAAAGCGCGUGUAGGCGGGUCUUUAAGUCAGGGGUGAAAUGCCAAGGCUCAACCUUGGAACUGCCUUUGAUACUGGAGACCUUGAGUCCGGGAGAGGUGAGUGGAAUUGCGAGUGUAGAGGUGAAAUUCGUAGAUAUUCGCAAGAACACCAGUGGCGAAGGCGGCUCACUGGCCCGGAACUGACGCGUGAGACGGCGAA